AUGGCUACCUGCUUCUCUGAUUUAAUAAAAGACCAUUCCCUUGACUUUAUAGGCCUUCAGGAAACUAUGAAAAAGAAAAUAUCCCCUAAAUUUGUCAGGAAUAUUGAUCACCUGGAUAGAUAUGCGUGGAAUCAUAUCCCUUCUGUAGGCAAGUCUGGAGGGAUUUUAUGUGGUAUCAAAAAAGAGACACUUGAAGUAGUAUCCUGCGUACCAAAAAACUUCCUUCUGCAAGCUAACAUCUAUGAUGUUAAGCAAAAAUGCAUGUGGGCCCUCAUAGUGGUCUAUGGGGCUGCCCAGGAUGAUAGAAAGGAUGAUUUCCUAGAAGAACUGAUAUCGGUAUGCUCUCAAAUACCUAUCCCCUAUAUAGUGGGUGGAGAUUUCAAUAUCCUUCGCAAUAGUGGUGAGAAAAAUAAGAGUAUGACCUACUCCCAAUAUACAGAUAAGUUCAACUCAAUUAUCCAAUCCCUCAAGGUGAGAGAAAUACAUAUGGGAGGAGGUAAAUACACAUGGUCGAACAAACAGAAACACCCUACUUUGGAGAAGUUGGAUAGGAUCCUUAUGAGCUUUGAUUGGGAGGACCUGUUCCCCUUGGUUACCGUUCGAAAACUAGUUUGA
rnacentral:rRNA from 1 species